AUUAUUCUUGCCGCCGCAUCGGGCUGGGUUAUUCAUUGCACGCGUAGACCUUACCAGGUCUUGACAUCCUCUGACAAUCCUAGAGAUAGGACGUCCCCUUCGGGGGCAGAGUGACAGGUGGUGCAUGGUUGUCGUCAGCUCGUGUCGUGAGAUGUUGGGUUAAGUCCCGCAACGAGCGCAACCCUUGAUCUUAGUUGCCAGCAUUCAGUUGGGCACUCUAAGGUGACUGCCGGUGACAAACCGGAGGAAGGUGGGGAUGACGUCAAAUCAUCAUGCCCCUUAUGACCUGGGCUACACACGUGCUACAAUGGACAGAACAAAGGGCAGCGAAACCGCGAGGUUAAGCCAAUCCCACAAAUCUGUUCUCAGUUCGGAUCGCAGUCUGCAACUCGACUGCGUGAAGCUGGAAUCGCUAGUAAUCGCGGAUCAGCAUGCCGCGGUGAAUACGUUCCCGGGCCUUGUACAACCCCGCCCGUA
rnacentral:rRNA from 1 species